AUUGAACGCUGGCGGCAUGCUUUACACAUGCAAGUCGAACGGUAACAGGCCGCAAGGUGCUGACGAGUGGCGAACGGGUGAGUAAUGCAUCGGAACGUGCCCAGUCGUGGGGGAUAACGCAGCGAAAGUUGCGCUAAUACCGCAUACGACCUAUGGAUGAAAGCGGGGGACCGUAAGGCCUCGCGCGAUUGGAGCGGCCGAUGUCAGAUUAGGUAGUUGGUGGGGUAAAGGCUCACCAAGCCGACGAUCUGUAGCUGGUCUGAGAGGACGACCAGCCACACUGGGACUGAGACACGGCCCAGACUCCUACGGGAGGCAGCAGUGGGGAAUUUGGACAAUGGGCGCAAGCCUGAUCCAGCAAUGCCGCGUGCAGGAAGAAGGCCUUCGGGUUGUAAACUGCUUUUGUACGGAACGAAACGGUCCUGGUUAAUACCUGGGGCUCAUGACGGUACUGUAAGAAUAAGCACCGGCUAACUACGUGCCAGCAGCCGCGGUAA
rnacentral:rRNA from 1 species